rnacentral:ncRNA from 1 species
UUUCCAAGUUAACCAAAAGAUAACGCAUGUGUCCUAAGAUGAGCUCAAUGAGAACAGAAAUUUUGUGUGGAACAGAAGGGUAAUAGCUCGUUUGAUUCUGAUUUCUAGUACGAAUAUGAACCAUGACAGCUUGGCCUAAUAGUCCUUCUGAACUUGAUCAG